GGGCAUGUAGCGCAGUUGGUAGCGCGCUCGCUUAGCAACAAGUUGGGAUUUAAUUUAUCCAUAGCUUACGUAAGCAUGCGAGAGGUCCUGGGUUCAAAUCCCAGCCUGUCCA
rnacentral:tRNA from 1 species